CGAAUGCGUUGUAUAAGACCUUGGUUGCAAAUAGAAAUCCCCUCAGUUGUUGUUGCCGGUUACUUGAAGAAGAGCCUUGGUCUGCCAAAGUUUAGACACAGCUUCAGCCUUGAUUGAAAACUGUGCUACGCCCGGCCGUUCAUAUCUAAUUAAG